AAGGCUUUAAGUUAAAUAAAACUAAUAUCCUUCAAAGCUAUAAAUAAAGAAAAAUCUUUAAGCCUUA
rnacentral:tRNA from 1 species